UGAGGAACAUGACCUUCGGCGGGGGAUAGCCGGCCCAACGGCCGGGUAAUACCGCGUACGACCACAUGGGGACAUCCCCGAGUGGUGAAAGCAGCAAUGCGCCGAUGGAGUGUCUCGCGGCCUAUCAGCUAGUUGGUGAGGUAACGGCUCACCAAGGCGACGACGGGUAGCUGGUCUGAGAGGAUGGCCAGCCACAUUGGAACUGAGACACGGUCCAGCUCCUAGG
rnacentral:rRNA from 1 species